UAGCCCACCCGUUUUUGUGGCCUUUUUCCGCUGGACGAACUUGGCGCCCCGGCCUUCGGGCGGUUAUUUUUGUGUGCGGCUGGGCCCGUGGCCUAUUUUUGGCACACGGAGGCCCCUCGAAAAGUCUCGCGGCCUUCCGAGUCCGGCGGACGAAGUGGGCCAGCCCCACCCCCCAAGGCUAUAGCCCAACCGUUUUUGUGGCCUUUUUCCGCUGGACGAACUUGGCGCCCCGGCCUCCGGGCGGUUAUUUUUGGGCGCGGCUUUGCCCACGGCCUAUUUUUGGCACACGGAGGCCCCUCACAAAGUCUCGCGGCAUUCCGAGUCCGGCGGACGAACUUGGCCAGCCCCACCCCCCAAGGCUAUAGCCCACCCGUUUUUGUGGUCUUUUUCCGCUGGACGAACUUGGCGCCCCGGCCUUCGGGCGGUUAUUUUUGGGCACGGCUUUAACCGCGGCCUAUUUUUGGCACACGGAGGCCCCUCACAAAGUCUUGCGGUAUUCCGAGUGCGGCGGACGAAGCUGGCCAGCCCCACCCCCCAAGGCUAUAGCCCACCCGUUUUUGUGGCCUUUUUCCGCUCGACGAACUUGGCGCCCCAGCCUUCGGGCGGUUAUUUUUUGGCGCGGCUUUGACAGCAGCUUAUUUUUCGCACACGGAGGCCCCUUGCAAAGUCUCGCGGCAUUCCGAGUCCGGCGGACGAAGUUGGCGAGCCCCACCCCCCAAGGCUAUAGCCCACCCGUUUUUGUGGGCUUUUUCCGCUGGACGAACUUGGCGCCCCGGCCUCCGGGCGGUUAUUUUUGGGCGUGGCUUUGCCCGUGGCCUGUUUUUAGUGCACGGAGGCCCCUCGCAAAGUCUCGCGGCAUUCCGAGUCCGGCGGACGAAUUGGGCCAGCCCCACCCCCAAGGCUAUAGCCCGUCCGUUUUUGUGGCCUUUUUCCGCUGGACGAACGUGGCGCCCCGGCCUUCGGGCGGUUAUUUUUCGGCGCAGCUUUGCCCGCGGCCUAUUUUUGGCACACGGAGGAACCUCACAAGGCCUCGCGCCAUUCCGAGUCCGGCGGACGAAAUUGGCCAGCCCCACCCCCCAAGGCUAUAGCCCACCCGUUAUUUGUGGCCUUUUUCCGUUGGACGAACUUGCCGCCCCGGCCUUCUGGGGGUUAUUUUUGGGGGGGACUGUACCCGCACCCUAUUUUUGGGACACGGAGGCGCCUCGCAAAGUCUCGCGCGAUUCCGACUUCGGCGGACAAAGUGGGCCAGCCCCACCCCCCAAGGCUAUAGCCCAACCGUUUUUGUGGCCUUUUUCCGCUUUGAAAAAAUGAGGCCCCCGGCCUUCGGGUGGNNNNNNNNNNNNNNNNNNNNNNNNNNNNNNNNNNNNNNNNNNNNNNNNNNNNNNNNNNNNNNNNNNNNNNNNNNNNNNNNNNNNNNNNNNNNNNNNNNNNCCCGCGGCCUAUUUUUAGCACACGGAGGUGCCUUGCAAAGUCUCGCGGCAUUCUGAGUCCGGCGGACGAAGUUGGCCAGCUCCACCCCCCAAGGCUAUAGCCCACCCGUUUUUGUGGCCUUUUUCCGCUAGACGAACUUGGCGCCCCGCCUUUCGGGCGGGUAUUUUUGAGCACUGCUGUGCCUGCGGCCUAUUUUUGGUACACGGAGGCACCUCGCAAGGUCUCUCGCCAUUCCCAGUCCGGCGGACGAAGUUGGCCAGCCCCACCCCCCAAGGCUAUAGCCCACCCGUUUUUGUGGCCUUUUUCCGCUGGACGAACUUGGCGCCCCGGCCUUCGGGCGGUUAUUUUUGUGUGCGGCUGGGCCCGUGGCCUAUUUUUUUCACACGGAGGCCCCUCGAAAAGUCUCGCGGCAUUCCGAGUCCGGCGGACGAAGUGGGCCAGCCCCACCCCCCAAGGCUAUAGCCCACCCGUUUUUGUGGCCUUUUUCCGCUGGACGAACUUGGCGCCCGGCCUUCGGGUGGUUAUUUUUGGGCGCAGCUUGGUCCGCGGCCUAUGUUUGGCACACCGAGGCCCCUCGCAAAGUCUCGCGGCAUUCCGAGUCCGGCGGACGAAUUUGGCCAGCCCCACCUCCCGAGGCUAUAGCCCAUCCGUUUUUGUGGCCUUUUUCCGCUGGACGAACUUGGCGCCCGGCCUUCGGGCGGUUAUUUUUGGGCGCGGCUUUUUCCGCGGCGUAUUUUUGGCACACGGAGGCCCCUCGCAAAGUCUCGCAGCAUUCCGAGUCCGGCGGACGAACUUGGCCAGCCCCACCCCCCAAGGCUAUAGCCCACCCGUUUUUGUGGUCUUUGUCCGCUGGAUGAACUUGGCGCCCCGGCCUUCGGGCAGUUAUUUUUGGGCACGGCUUUAACCGCGGCCUAUUUUUGGCACACGGAGGCCCCUCACAAAGUCUUACGGUAUUCCGAGUGCGGCGGACGAAGUUGGCCAGCCCCACGCCCCAAGGCUAUAGCCCACCCGUUUUUGUGGACUUUUUCCGCUCGACGAACUUGGCGCCCCAGCCUUCGGGCGGUUAUUUUUUGGGGCGGCUUUGACCGCAGCCUAUUUUUGGCACACGGAGGCCCCUUGCAAAGUCUCGCGGCAUUCCGAGUCCGGCGGACGAAGUCGGCCAGCCCCACCCCCCAAGGCUAUAGCCCACCCGUUAUUGUGGCCUUUUUCCGUUGGACGAACUUGGCGCCCCGGCCUCCGGGCGGUUAUUUUUGGGCGUGGCUUUGCCCGUGGCCUGUUUUUAGUACACGGAGGCCCCUCACAAAGUCUCGCGGCAUUCCGAGUCCGGCGGACGAAGUGGGCCAGCCCCACCCCCCAAGGGUAUAGCCCGCCCGUUUUUGUGGCCUUUUUCCGCUGGACGAACUUGGCGCCCCGGCCUUCGGGCGGUUAUUUUUCGGCGCAGCUUUGCCCGCGGCCUAUUUUUGGCACACGGAGGAGCAUCACAAAGCCUCGCGCCAUUCCGAGUCCGGCGGACAAAGUGGGCCAGCCCCACCCCCCAAGGCUAUAGCCCAACCGUUUUUGUGGCCUUUUUCCGCUAGACGAACUUGGCGCCCCGGCCUUAGGGUGGUUAUUUUUAGGCGUGGCUGUGCCCGCGGCCUAUAUUUGGCACACGGAGGUGCCGUGCAAAGUCUCGUGGCAUUCCGAGUCCGGCGGACGAAGUUGGCCAGCCCCACCCCCCAAGGCUAUAGCCCACCCGCUUUUGUGGCCUUUUUCCGCUGGACGAAUUUGGCG
rnacentral:lncRNA from 1 species